UACGUAGGGCGCAAGCGUUAUCCGGAAUUAUUGGGCGUAAAGAGCUCGUAGGCGGUUUGUCGCGUCUGCUGUGAAAGUCCGGGGCUCAACUCCGGAUCUGCGGUGGGUACGGGCAGACUAGAGUGAUGUAGGGGAGACUGGAAUUCCUGGUGUAGCGGUGAAAUGCGCAGAUAUCAGGAGGAACACCGAUGGCGAAGGCAGGUCUCUGGGCAUUAACUGACGCUGAGGAGCGAAAGCGUGGGGAGCGAACAGG
rnacentral:rRNA from 1 species